rnacentral:rRNA from 1 species
GAUGAACGCUAGCGGCAGGCCUAACACAUGCAAGUCGAGGGGUAGAGGAAGCUUGCUUCCUUGAGACCGGCGCACGGGUGCGUAACGCGUAUGCAAUCUACCUUUUACAGAGGGAUAGCCCAGAGAAAUUUGGAUUAAUACCUCACAGUAUCUUUGCCUGGCAUCGGGUGAUUAUUAAAGUUCCAACGGUAAAAGAUGAGCAUGCGUCCUAUUAGCUAGAUGGCAAGGUAACGGCUUACCAUGGCAACGAUAGGUAGGGGUCCUGAGAGGGAGAUCCCCCACCCUGGUACUGAGACACGGACCGGACUCCGACGGGAGGCAGCAGUGAGGAAUAUUGGACAAUGGGCGCAAGCCUGAACCAGCCAUGCCGCGUGCAGGAGGACGGUCCUAUGGAUUGUAAACUGCUUUUAUACAGGAAGAAACCCUCCCACGUGUGGGAGAUUGACGGUACUGUAGGAAUAAGGAUCGGCUAACUCCGUGCCAGCCGCCGCAGUAAAAC